rnacentral:tRNA from 1 species
GUAAGGAAGUUUUGGUGAAUGCAGGCUUUGGGGGCUUGAGGGGUAGUUGCGAG